CGACGUAGCGGCGGGACUGGGCGACGAACAACGAGCAACGGCGCAUUCUCGCUUAGCACGCAGAUAAGAAUACUUUCUUAGAGCAAGGUGCACGGUUGUUUCGUAAAUAAUUCGAAAAGCGCCAAACAGUGGCGAACUAUGAGAUUUGCACGAGCUACGAGUAAUUACGUAUAAUACAGUAAUCCUUAUUUAAACGUUCGCACUUUCACCGAUUUAAACGUCCGUCGAUACAGUAAUCCCCACCAUUCCUUGAAAUUGGGACUAUCUGCACUACCUUACCGACCUGUCGAAGGCCGUGCGAAACAAGACACUUGCACGACACAAAGCGAGUGAUACUCGAUACUAAUAUUUCGGUGCUAAUUCGUAGAAAACACAUCUCCACUUAAGCGUCCACUCUCGGUCCCGACUGUGGACGCUUAAAUGAGGAUUAUUAUAACGGUCCGGUGCACAACUACGUGAAGAAAGAAUCUAGAAAACUAGAAAGGCAAUUUUCGGCGUUUGAUAUUGCUACGUUGAAGUCUACGAAAAUUCAAUUGACUGUCGAAUUGGGAUCAAAUCACGUGGCCAGUUAAUGUGCAACGAGCGUGCAAGACAGCAAAUGGCAGUUAACUAAGUUCAGCCACUGAUUCACCGUAAAUAAUACAAAAGGAAAACGCACGGGAAUUGCGUAGCGUACAGGCGGCGUUGCACGAGAACGAAUGAUUCACACUUCCGAGCAAAUCGCUGAACGACGAUACAAUAACUCAGCUGGCGCGUUUUCGCCGUAUAGAUUUACAUUAUACCGCGUAAUUAGCGACCUGCUCGCACCGACGACAUCCGACGAACUGAAAUAACUGUGAUAACAGGAAAUCUCAGUCUUAAGUUUCAGCACUUACAUUAGAUUAUGAAAGAAAAGAUUCGAGCGAGCGCAUAAGGGCGUAUAUGCAUAUAUUUACACAUGGUAUGUACGGCUUCGAUUAUUGGUUCGUCAACUGCGAGAGAAAUCAAAAACAUUCGCACGAUCGCAAUGCACACACUGUAUGUAUCUUCCUUAUUCUUAUUCUUACUUCGAAUACAUCAGACACAUCUCAUCAGGCAAAAGGUGAGAAAACAAGCGGAAAAGAACGUGUAUCUUUUUAUCGAAAUUCCGUGCAAUUAGCGCAGAGAUAGUACCUUCCAGACUUCCAGUGAACAUCGGGUAAACAAAUCAAUGGCGCAUGCCGAAGACUUCGAAUAUAGUCCGACGAGAUAUACGUACAUAUGUUCCAGAUAAAGAAUAUAAUCCAAUCUAUAGCGAAGCAUCGCAUAGGAUGGUUGUUGCGUGGAAUCAGCAGAAAAAAAAAAAAACGUCGGUGAUGUGACCUAAUCCGUUCGUUUGACCGAUUUGAGAAGAAGAAAAAAUACUUUUUCUUUUUUCAAACGUACAGAUUACAAUCGUUGCACUUUGAACCUUCGAUUUGUAAUUACAAACUUUUUCCCGAUUGCGUAAUCUCGCAAACGUUUGUUAUGUAACUGUUACAGCAAAAAAAAGAAAAAAGAAAAAAAGGAAAAAAAAAUGAGAAAGAACAAAGUCGUGUUGCGUAGGUCACGCACGUACUACGAACAAGCAGCAGAAAGUGAUAAACGAUAGCGAGGUUUUUGAUCGCGAGCCCCACCACCGUGUAAGCCGAGUUUAAUCAAGUGUGCGCGAAGAAAAUAACGCAAUAGCGUUAGUUUUAUGGCUCGGUAAUAAAACAUAUUUCUAACGGAAGUUUACUUACGUCGCGCAACUAUAUAUGUAUACGAAUCAUGAAUGGGAACCUUAGUAGUUUGUCACGUUUCACCAGCUAUUAUGACUAACUAGAAAUAUACGUUUGCAGAAUUAAAAGGUCGUACGAUAUUGCAACACUUCUGAGAACCAUUACAAUUAACUGUGAUUAUUGUGCUAAGCACGUUUUAUAGAAAUAUAAUAAUUUUGACAUACAUAUUUGUCAAAAAAAAAAAAAAAAAAAAAAAUCAUUGAUAAAUAAUCAUCGCACAAAUACAUCUGGUAUAUUGUACAUACAUAAACA